UCAAGUGAUGUUCCUACUAGUCCUGAC
rnacentral:piRNA from 1 species